GAGAACUACGAGCCUAGCUUAAAACUCAAAGGACUUGACGGUAUUCCAUAUCCGACUAGAGGAGCCUGUCCUAUAACCGAUGAUCCCCGUUAAACCUCACCCCUUUUAGCUUACAGCCUGUAUACUUCCGUCGCCAGCCCAUCACGGGAAUGCAACUCAAUGAGUAACUCCGUCUAACACACAAACGUCAGGUCAAAGUGCAGCAAAUAAAGGGGCAAGUGAUGGGCUACAUUCUCUAACUUAGAGCACACGAAAGGCCAUGUGAAAUCUUGAUCAUGAAGGCGGAUUUAGAAGUAAAGGGGGAAUAGAGUGCCCCUUUUAACCCGGCCCUGGAAUGCGUA
rnacentral:rRNA from 1 species